rnacentral:rRNA from 1 species
UACAGAGGGUGCGAGCGUUGUCCGGAAUUACUGGGCGUAAAGGGCGCGUAGGCGGCCUUCUAAGUCGAACGUGAAAUCCCCGGGCUCAACCCGGGAACUGCGUCCGAGACUGGAAGGCUUGAAUCCGGGAGAGGGAUGUGGAAUUCCAGGUGUAGCGGUGAAAUGCGUAGAUAUCUGGAGGAACAUCGGUGGCGAAGGCGGCAUCCUGGACCGGUAUUGACGCUGAGGCGCGAAAGCCAGGGGAGCAAACGGG